rnacentral:rRNA from 1 species
UACGUAGGGGGCAAGCGUUGUCCGGAUUUAUUGGGCGUAAAGAGCGUGUAGGCGGUUUGGUAGGUCCGCUGUGAAAACUCGAGGCUCAACCUCGAGACGCCGGUGGAAACCAUCAGGCUAGAGUCCGGAAGAGGAGAGUGGAAUUCCUGGUGUAGCGGUGAAAUGCGCAGAUAUCAGGAGGAACACCGGUGGCGAAGGCGGGUCUCUGGGCAGUAACUGACGCUGGAGGAGCGAAAGCGUGGGGAGCGAACAGG